rnacentral:pre_miRNA from 1 species
UUGCAUGGUUGUUCGAUAAAACUGUUGUGAUAAUGUACAACACAAUUAUCGAUAGCUUAUGCAAA